rnacentral:rRNA from 1 species
GAGUUUGAUCAUGGCUCAGAAUCAACGCUGGCGGCGUGCCUAACACAUGCAAGUCGCACGAGAAAGGGUAGCAAUACCUGAGUACAGUGGCGCACGGGUGAGUAACACGUGAAUCAUCUACCUUCGAGUGGGGAAUAACUGAGAGAAAUCUUAGCUAAUACCGCAUAAUACCUACGGGUCAAAGCAGCAAUGCGCUUGAAGAGGAGUUCGCGGCAGAUUAGUUAGUUGGCGGGGUAAUGGCCCACCAAGACGAUGAUCUGUAUCCGGCCUGAGAGGGCGCACGGACACACUGGAACUGAAACACGGUCCAGACUCCUACGGGAGGCAGCAGUGGGGAAUUUUGCGCAAUGGGGGAAACCCUGACGCAGCAACACCGCGUGGAGGAUGAAAUCCCUUGGGAUGUAAACUCCUUUCGAUAGGGAAGAUAAUGACGGUACCUAUAGAAGAAGCCCCGGCUAACUUCGUGCCAGCAGCCGCGGUAAUACGAGGGGGGCAAGCGUUGUUCGGAAUUAUUGGGCGUAAAGGGUGCGUAGGCGGUUUGACAAGUCUUAUGUGAAAUCUUCGGGCUCAACCCCGAAGUCUGCAUGGGAA